rnacentral:miRNA from 1 species
AGGGUUGCAUCUGGGCAUCGCG